AUUGAACGCUGGCGGCAGGCCUAACACAUGCAAGUCGAGCGGAUGAGAAGAGCUUGCUCUUCGAUUCAGCGGCGGACGGGUGAGUAUGCCUAGGAAUCUGCCUAGUAGUGGGGGACAACGUUUCGAAAGGAACGCUAAUACCGCAUACGUCCUACGGGAGAAAGUGGGGGAUCUUCGGACCUCACGCUAUGAGAUGAGCCUAGGUCGGGUUAGCUAGUUGGUAGGGGAAAGGCCUACCCAGGCGACGAUCCGUAACUGGUCUGAGAGGAUGAUCAGUCACACUGGAACUGAGACACGGUCCAGACUCCGACGGGAGGCGGCAGUGGGGAAUAUUGGACAAUGGGCGAAAGCCUGAUCCAGCCAUGCCGCGUGUGUGAAGAAGGCCUUCGGGUCGUAAAGCACUUUAAGUUGGGAGGAAGGGCUCAUAGCGAAUACCUGUGAGUUUUGACGUUACCAACAGAAUAAGCACCGGCUAACUUCGUGCCAGCCGCCGCGGUAA
rnacentral:rRNA from 1 species